rnacentral:rRNA from 1 species
UGGCGCACGGGUGCGUAACGCGUAUGCAACCUACCUUUUAUUGGGGGAUAGCCCGAAGAAAUUCGGAUUAGUACCGCAUAAUAUCCUUUGAGGGCAUCUGAAGAGGAUGAAAGCUACGGCGAUAAAAGAUGGGCAUGCGUGUCAUUAGCUAGUUGGUGAGGUAACGGCUCACCAAGGCGACGAUGACUAGGGGUUCUGAGAGGAUGAUCCCCCACACUGGUACUGAGAUACGGACCAGACUCCUACGGGAGGCAGCAGUAGGGAAUAUUGGGCAAUGGAGGAAACUCUGACCCAGCCAUGCCGCGUGCCGGAUGAAGGCCUUCUGGGUUGUAAACGGCUUUUACCAGGGAAGAAAAUACCUUUGCGAAGGGAACUGACGGUACCUGGUGAAUAAGCACCGGCUAACUCCGUGCCAGCAGCCGCGGUAAUACGGAGGGUGCAAGCGUUGUCCGGAUUUAUUGGGUUUAAAGGGUGCGUAGGCGGCUUGGUAAGUCCGUGGUGAAAGCCCACCGCUCAACGGUGGAACUGCCAUGGAUACUGCCAGGCUUGAGUACAGACGAGGUAGGCGGAAUGGAUCGUGUAGCGGUGAAAUGCUUAGAUAUGACAUAGAACACCAAUUGCGAAGGCAGCUGACUACGGAGAUAUUGACACUGAGGCACGAAAGCGUGGGGAUCAAACGGGAUUAGAUACCCUGNUAGUCCACGCCCUAAACGAUGGAUACUCGACAUUUGUGAUAGACAAUAAGUGUC